rnacentral:lncRNA from 1 species
CCCUCUUCUAUUUUGCCCCUCUUUUUACUAAUAUCUUUUUUAGUAAUCUUUACAUUAUUUUAACUUAUAAAUCAUUAUGAGUCGAACACUUUCAUAACUUGAUUUAACUUAAUUUUGACGUAUAAGUGAAAUUAAUACUGAACAUUUUUACUUAUAAGUCGCAACUUAAAAUAACUUAUAAAUAAACUUAUAUUUGAACUUAUAAGUCAUUUAAAAUAAGUCAUUCUGAACAGGCCCUAUAAACUAUAUAGUCGUUUUUCACUUUUAAUUCUUUAACUAACUUUUUUUUCGCAUAUUUUGUCCUAAAAUUUUAUAAUUUCUACAUUCUUAACCAAACCUCACCAAAAUAGACGACUUAAACUUGAAAAACAACUCUAGUUUGAGAAUUAAAUGUGAAAUACAGUUAUUGUUUCAUGAUUAACAUGAAAAAACCUAUAUAUAAAAUUUUGAAUAAAUCAGACAAGAAAAUAAUUAUAUAAUUAUAGGACUAAACAUGAAAAAUAAUUAUAGUUUCGGGACUAAAGAGUUAUCCUUAAUUAGUAGAAAGUUGAACACGAAUCUUUCCCCAUAAAUUCCAUAUACUUAAUUAUACAUAAAAUUAGACAAUAUAAUAGGUACAUGACUGCUAA